CUACGGGUGGCUCCAGUGGGGGAUAUUGCACAAUGGGGGAAACCCUGAUGCAGCAACGCCGCGUGAAGGAAGACGGAUUUCGGUCUGUAAACUUCUAUCAGCUGGGAAGAAAAUGACGGUACCAGACUAAGAAGCCCCGGCUAACUACGUGCCAGCAGCCGCGGUAAUACGUAGGGGGCAAGCGUUAUCCGGAUUUACUGGGUGUAAAGGGUACGUAGGCGGUUAUUUAAGUCAGAUGUGAAAGCCCGGAGCUCAACUCCGGGACUGCAUUUGAAACUGGGUAACUAGAGUACAGGAGAGGAAAGCGGAAUUCCUAGUGUAGCGGUGAAAUGCGUAGAUAUUAGGAAGAACACCAGUGGCGAAGGCGGCUUACUGGACUGAAACUGACGCUGAGGCACGAAAGCGUGGGGAGCGAACAGGAUUAGAUACCCCCGUAGUC
rnacentral:rRNA from 1 species